rnacentral:tmRNA from 1 species
GGGGUUGUACUGGUUUCGACGGGGGUUUUGAAAUUGUAGUAGCCAUUCGCAGACUAGGGCUGCGUCACAAACUUAGAAAAAUUUUAAACGCAAACGAUAAUUUAGCGUACGCUGCCUAGCGGCAGCUGUCGACCUUAGGCAACUCGCAGCUUAAGAACUCGGCAUCAAAUUAGCGAGGACCUUUGUCUUCAAAGCUUUGAGAAGAUAAAAGAUUUAUGAAGCUACCAAAGUUUAGAACCUGUCUUUCGGUGCUAGACAUUUGGGAAAACCUUUUUAGGUAACUAAAAAGAAAAAAGAAAGACUGUAAUGGGAGAAACUGCAAUGAAUGGACUUUCGGACAGGGGUUCGAUUCCCCUCAGCUCCAUAU